CCCAACUAUCCCUAUUAAUCAUUACGUUGAUCCUAAAAACCAACAAAAUAGGUUCGAACGUCCUAUUUCAUUAUUCCAUGCUAAUGUAUUCAAGCUAAUGCCUGCUUUAAACACUCUAAUUUUUUCAAAGUAACAGUCCUGAUUUCCCAUAACACCAAAUUAAUGACAUCAUGGUUCGUCAGAAGGGAGAAAUCGAUGACGACAGUACGUACCGAAGGCACGACCGACGUAUCGAUCCCGAAAUUCAACUACGAGCUUUUUAACUGCAACAACUUUAAUAUACGCUAUUGGAGCUGGAAUUACCGCGGCUGCUGGCACCAGACUUGCCCUCCA
rnacentral:misc_RNA from 1 species